AUGCUGCAGGGGCCUUUCAGGAUCUGGGAGGGGGUAGUCAGGAGGAAGGAGGGAGACGCAGGUGUACUUGGGCAAGUUCAGAUCAGGAGAGGUAGAGGCUGGCACCUGGGGCAGGUACCAGCCUGGGCACUGGUGGCCGCCCCCCAUCCUGUGUGUUUUCACCACCCAAUCUGGCUUGUCCCGGCAGCGCUUGAAUGCCACAGGCUGGCAGGGGCCUCCAGAGGCCCUGCCCCUCGAUCCCCAGCCUGGGUAGGGCCACCAGGUACGACCAGGUACCAGAGACCACCAGGAGCACGGGGCAGAAAGCCAGCGUCCAUGCCCCAGCAGCCCCCUCCUGCCUGUCCCUGGCUCCCAGCUCCCGCCCCUCCCCAGGGCCCCCACCUCCACGGCCCACUUCAUUUUCUGUUCUCAUUUUGCAGAGUUGCACAGGGAGAGAACUCAGCAUGGGGGGUGGUUCUUUGGGUUCUGUUUGUUUAUUUGUUUAAUUUGAUGGUUUGUAAAGUGAUGUUCCUCUUCCUUUUUUACACUUUUCAGCUCAUAUUUAACCUCUGUUUGGAAAAUGAUUCUUGUAACUGUACAUUUUUUUGCCUCCUAAUAACAAUGACAAGAACAAAAAUAAAUGACCGAUUUUGUGUUGGGGGGGUGUAUGGUGCCAGUUACUUUUCUGCAGUUGGCAUGGGCUGCCCAGCAGGCCCACAGGGCCACCAGCACACCCCCACACGCUGGUCACCAACAGAGCCAUGGGGCGCGAGCACAUGCCCACCCUGGAGCACAAUGGCACUGUACAAAUGGCCUCCCACACGUGUGUCGGGCUCUCGCACUUUCUCUUUCUCAUUCUCUUCAGAUUUCCGUGUAGUCCCAGCUUUGAGCCAGCGGCUGCUGCGUGGGGCUGCAGAGCUCGUUGAGGGAACUGCCCAGGGCUGGGUCAGGAGGCAGUGGCACAGGCUGGAUGCUGUUUUGUAUGGAAACUACGCUGCCCUUUUCUUACACUCAGUUCAGGCCUCAGCCCCUCUUUCCCAGGCCCUGGAUCUCACUGGCAGCCAGGGUUGGGCCAGAACCAGAACCCUGUCCCUCUGGCCGCCAGUCCCUACCCCAGAACCAGUUAACUGUGCUCCAGGGGUAGGGCUGGGCCCACAGAGCCUGGGAGAUCCUCACCGCCUUUGCUGCCUCUCAGUUAGUGCCAAUGCUGUGCGUUUCCCAGUAGGAGCCCUGCUCUCGCUCCUCUGCCGGAUCUGA
rnacentral:lncRNA from 1 species